rnacentral:rRNA from 1 species
CGCCUCUGGUAAAAGAUCAAGAGGUCUGACCUGCCCGGUGACUUUUGUUAAACGGCUGCAGUACUCUGACUGUGCAAAGGUAGCAUAAUCAUUAGCCUGUUAAUUCCAGGCUGGAAUCAAUGGUUGGACGAUAGGAGCUCUGUCUCUUUUUAUUUUUGUUGAAUUUAGUUUUUAGGUGAAGAGGCCUAAAUAGUUUAGUGGGACGAGAAGACCCUAUAGAGCUUUAGGUAGUUUUGAUUACUUUUCUUUGUCGAACUAUUUUUAGUUGGGGCAACUGUUUUUUAUUUUUAGGCAAAGGUAUAAUCACUAAUAAAUAUAGUUCGAGGUUUAUUAUGACCCAAAAACUUUUUUGGAAAUCGGAAAAAGUUACCUUAGGGAUAACAGCGUAAUUUCUUUUGAGAGUACACAUUGACAAAGAAGUUUGCGACCUCGAUGUUGGAUUAAGUUUUCCUAGAGAUGCAGCAGUUUCUAAGGGUUGGUUUGUUCAACCAUUAAAAAUCUUACG